rnacentral:rRNA from 1 species
GGGCUCAACUCCGGAUCUGCGGUGGGUACGGGCAGACUAGAGUGAUGUAGGGGAGACUGGAAUUCCUGGUGUAGCGGUGAAAUGCGCAGAUAUCAGGAGGAACACCGAUGGCGAAGGCAGGUCUCUGGGCAUUAACUGACGCUGAGGAGCGAAAGCAUGGGGAGCGAACAGGAUUAGAUACCCUGGUAGUCCAUGCCGUAAACGUUGGGCACUAGGUGUGGGGGACAUUCCACGUUUUCCGCGCCGUAGCUAACGCAUUAAGUGCCCCGCCUGGGGAGUACGGCCGCAAGGCUAAAACUCAAAGGAAUUGACGGGGGCCCGCACAAGCGGCGGAGCAUGCGGAUUAAUUCGAUGCAACGCGAAGAACCUUACCAAGGCUUGACAUGGACCGGACCGCCGCAGAAAUGUGGUUUCCCCUUUGGGGCCGGUUUACAGGUGGUGCAUGGUUGUCGUCAGCUCGUGUCGUGAGAUGUUGGGUUAAGUCC